CUAUACAAUGAAAGUGCGAGGGCUGUCGCUGACCUUUUUCAAAAGAGUCGUGCACGCCCAAGUGCUCUCACACAUCCAUUUCACACCUUUGUGCAUCACCGCGUGGGGGAGGCCCACGUUUUUCUUUUCACACAAACCUCAAAGUAGUGUAGAAUGUACUUUCUUUAUUUUGCGGUGAUACGCAAAUCAAUA
rnacentral:misc_RNA from 1 species